rnacentral:lncRNA from 1 species
CAAAAAGAUGGCUGCUGUCAAGGGUGUGUACAUGUCUCUGUAGCUACUGAAGGGAAGGAACACUUUUCCCUGCCUGGAAGUGCCAGCUUAGGCUUCAUAGCACUGCGUGGGCUGGCUAGUAGGAAUUAUCAACUUGCUGGGUGAUCUUGAAGGAUGAUUAACAGGACACAAUUGGAGAAACCGGUUAUUUUACCAAAGCUUUGGAAUGGUGUACUUUCCCUUAAGGAAUCAAAUAUGACUUAUGGAAACAAUAAAAGUCCCUUGGGAAAACUGGCCUCAUACCUUGUCUACACAGUUUCUGUACAGGAUUCCUGACCUGUGAGAAGGAAACUAAGCCUCAAGGUGGUUAUGGUACAUUGCCACUAAUAAGAGGCAGACCUGGGGCUCAACCUGCAGUUGUCUGACUCUAUAGAUGGCAAAAACUUACUGAAGAUGCUCUUUUGGGAGAUGGAUCAAGCACUGUGUUUUAUGAAGUUGAACAGAGAGAAGUUGGGAACGUGAUUCUCCAGGCACCAACAUCUUCCUCAAAAGUAUUGUUUACCUUAUUGUCCCUACUUGGUCCUUGAAGAAACAGAGUGUGUGACCCUUGCUUCCAAUCUUGUCCUCUUUCUAGCAUACCACGGUAUCACCUCUUUGAUAUUAUUUUAAUUCCUGUACCUACUUGAAGGAGCAUGCUGUUGAAAUGACUUUUAUAAUCUCAGCAAGAGCCCUACAGUUCAUAAACAUAAGGGCACAAGCUUCCUCCCACUUUAUGUGAUAGCUCAGUCUAGCAGAUGGGUUUUCCUGAAUUAUUCAUUUGUGACUAAUUUGUUUAGUAGCAUCUAUGUACUCAUAUCCCAUCUCUCUUAUGAGUGAACCUAAGUGCUUUGGCAAACUAUUUUAUUCUAUAAUCAAAGAAUGAAAGAUGGAGUCAACUUUUGAUGGUUGGCUUAUAUUUAAGCAGUUGCCCCAAACUUGCUAAUUCUUGGUUUCUCUUUCCCUACUCCAUAGACAUACACCAACCAUGAGUUGUGUAUCCAAAUCUCAUCUUGAGUUGUAGCUCCGAUAAUUCCCAUGUGUCAUGGGAGGGACCUAGCAGGAGGUAAUUGAAUCAUGGGGGCGGGUCUUUCCUGUGCUAUUCUCGUGAUAGUGAAUAAGUCUUAUGAGAACCUGAUGGUUUUAUGAAGGGGAGUUCCCCUGCAUGCACCCUCUUGCCUGCCAUCAUAUAAGACAUCCCUUUGGUUCUCCUUUGCCUUCCACCAUGAUUUUGAGGCCUCCCUGGUCAUGUGGAGCUGUGAAUCAAUUAAACCUCUUU